GUUUGAUCAUGGCUCAGGACGAACGCUUGCGACGUGCCUAAGAAAUGCAAGUCGAGCGAGGAGCAAUCCUAGCGGCGAACGGUCGCGUAACACGUAAGCAACCUGCCCCAGAGACCGGGACAACGUUCCGAAAGGAGCGCUAAUACCGGAUGUGCCCAUGUGAUGACAUCAUCGGAUGAGUAAAUCAAGCAAUUGGCUUAGGGAGGGGCUUGCGGCCUAUCAGCUAGAUGGUGGGGUAACGGCCUACCAUGGCGACGACGGGUAGCUGGUCUGAGAGGAUGGUCAGCCGGAUUGGGACUGAGAUACGGCCCAGACUCCUACGGGGGGCAGCAAUUAGGAAUCUUGCACAAUGGGCGAAAGCCUGAUGCAGCGACGUCGCGUGGGGGAGGAAGGCUUUCGGGUUGUAAACCCCUUUUGCUCAGGAAGAAACAAAUGACGGUACUGGGUGAAUAAGCCCCGGCUAACUACGUGCCAGCAGCCGCGGUAAUA
rnacentral:rRNA from 1 species